GCGGGCCCUACCCCAUGGGCGAGGUGGCGAGGGCAGAAAAUCCUUGGGGCGGCGGCGAGCGGGGGCGAGGACCCAGCUGCAGCCUCUGGGGCGUCUCCGGAAAGUUUAGCGCCUGAGGGAGUGAACUCUGGAGCUGACCUUCCUGGUCUCUAAGCCAUGUGUCCCCGGUGGGAUUUGGCUGUUCACAGUUCUUGGUUUAGCAUCUUCUUCUGGAAACAACCAAGGGAGGCAGGCCAGACAAAGAAUCCCACCAUUACCAUUUUAAACCAAGCUGCUAUCAUCUCCAGCCUGGUUUUGGUGAUGAGGAUGGGAUCCAGAGGAGACUACUGAUGGCUUUGGGGACAAUGAGAAACACACAGGUGCCAUAGGGAAAAAUGAGUCUCAGCCAAGAACCCACUGUAAAGUGUAGUGGGAAGGUCAUUCUUCCUCCUCUACAGUUUCUGGCAACGCAGAUGGAUCCUGCUGGGACAUCCUCCUUACUCUGGAGCCCACAGAUGGGAUCCUGGGAGAACGGGCAGAGGCUGGUGAAGGCCCUGAGCGAACAUCUGCUGCCGAUCCUCCUGGUUUUGCUGAGGAAGACUGGCCCUGAGCUAACAUCCGUGCCCAUCUUCCUCUAUUUUAUAUGUGGGACGCCUGCCACAGCAUGGCUUGAUAAGCAGUGCCAUGUCCGCACUUGGGAUCCGAACUGGUGAACCCUGAGCCCCCAAACUGGAACAUGCGAACUUAACUGCUGUGCCACUGGGCUGGCCCCCCCCAAAAUACAAUAAAAAUAAAAAUUGUACAGUUUAAGGGCAUUAAGUACAUUUACAAUGCUGUGAAACCAUUACCACUAUCUAGUUCCAGAACAUUUUCAUCAUCCCAAAAGGAAACCCUAUACUCAUUAAGUGGUGACUUUUCAUCCCCGUUUCAAUAACUUGAUAACCAUAAUUUUUUUAAGCCAUUUUAUCUUCUGUCACUUUAUAAAAGUUUGGGUUGAGUAUCUUAUCCAGUCAGCCUGAUGCCCCAGAAAAAAAGAAUCAUGACAGCUUCCAAGAAAUCCAGUGGAAAUAACUGUAUUGUCAUAUAUGUCAUAACUGGUUAAAAAAAC
rnacentral:lncRNA from 1 species